rnacentral:tRNA from 1 species
GCGGGCGUAGCUGAGUGGUCCAGCACCAGCUUCCCAAGCUGGGGAUCGUGGGUUCGAUUCCCAUCGCCCGCUCCA